rnacentral:rRNA from 1 species
GAUGAACGCUGGCGGCGUGCCUAAUACAUGCAAGUCGAGCGAACAGACGAGGCGCUUGCUCCUCUGACGUUAGCGGCGCACGGGUGAAUAACACGUGGAUCACCUACCUAUAAGACGGGGAAAACUUCGGGAAACCGGCGCUAAUAGCGGAUAAUAUAUUGAAGCGCAGGGGUGGAUAGUGAAAGACGGCUUUUGUGGCAGUUAUAGAUGGAUCCCGGCCGGAUGAGCUAGUUGGUAAGGUAACGGCUUACCAAGGCAAGUAUGCGUAGCCGACCGGAGAGGCGGAUCGGCCACCUUGGAACGUGGACGCGGUCCAGACUCCUACGGGAGGCAGCAGUAGCGAAUCUGACGCAAUGGGCGAAAGCCUGACGGAGCAACGCCGCGUCAGUGAUGAAGGCCUUCGGAGCGUAAAACUCUGUUAUUAGUGAAGAACAAAUGUGUAAGUAAAUAUGCACGUCUUGACGGUAACGAAUCAGAAAGCCCCGGCUAACUACGUG